rnacentral:rRNA from 1 species
CGCGGCCUAUCAGCUUGUUGGUGGGGUAGUGGCCUACCAAGGCGACGACGGGUAGCCGGCCUGAGAGGGCGACCGGCCACACUGGGACUGAGACACGGCCCAGACUCCUACGGGAGGCAGCAGUGGGGAAUAUUGCGCAAUGGGCGAAAGCCUGACGCAGCGACGCCGCGUGAGGGAUGACGGCCUUCGGGUUGUAAACCUCUUUCAGCAGGGACGAAGCGCAAGUGACGGUACCUGCAGAAGAAGCACCGGCUAACUACGUGCCAGCAGCCGCGGUAAUACGUAGGGUGCGAGCGUUGUCCGGAAUUAUUGGGCGUAAAGAGCUCGUAGGCGGUUUGUCGCGUCGACUGUGAAAACCUACAGCUUAACUGUGGGCUUGCAGUCGAUACGGGCAGACUUGAGUUCGGUAGGGGAGACUGGAAUUCCUGGUGUAGCGGUGAAAUGCGCAGAUAUCAGGAGGAACACCGGUGGCGAAGGCGGGUCUCUGGGCCGAUACUGACGCUGAGGAGCGAAAGCGUGGGGAGCGAACAGGAUUAGAUACCCUGGUAGUCCACGCCGUAAACGGUGGGAACUAGGUGUGGGGGACUUCCACGUCCUCCGUGCCGUAGCUAACGCAUUAAGUUCCCCGCCUGGGGAGUACG